rnacentral:rRNA from 1 species
GACAUAGGUGGCGAACGUUAUCCGGAAUUAUUGGGCGUAAAGGAUGCGUAGAUGGUAGAAUAAGUUAUUGGUCGAUGCCAAACUCAAUUUGGCGGAAGCUGGUAAUACUGUUCAGCUAGAGGGCAGGAGAGGUUGAUGGAAUUCUGUGUGGAGCGGUGAAAAUGUGUUGAUCUGCAGAGGAACACCAAAAGGCAGGAAGGCAAGGUCAA